rnacentral:antisense_RNA from 1 species
AGACAGGAAAAACACCCAAAAGGUAAAGGCCAGGCUGGUUCAUGCCGGACACCUAACCCCCUGCUACCACAUGCUGUUUUCCACACUGGGUGCUGGCCUGUGGGAACCUGCACAAGUCGGGGGCAACAUGGUCCCAGGAAGUCUUUGACAGGCUGCCCCCUGCUGGCUGCUGCGGGAACCACAUGGCAGAUGGCUCCUGGUGUCCCCUGGAAGUCAGGUCUUGCUCUGUCACCCAGGCUGGAGUGUGUGGUGUGAUCAUGCCUCACAGCAGCCUUGACAUCCCCAGGCUCAGAUGAUCCUCCCACCUCAGCCCCCUGAGUAGCCGCGACUACAGGCGCAUGCCACCACACCCAGGGUCCCAUCCAGAUACCACAUGACACCCGGUUGUCCUGUCUUCGGAGGCUCCUCCUGGCUGGGACAGCUUCUCAGACUUUCCUUGCUGCGAUGGCUGCUCAAGCUUUGAGGAAUACAGUCAGUGUUCUGUAGAACGUCUCUCUCGCUACUGAAAUUCGUCUAAUGUUUUUCUCACGAUUAGACUGGGGUUGGGCGUGUUUAGAAAGAAGACCACAGAAGUAAAGUGCCUCCCUCAUCACACCGUGUCAAGGGUACACACCACCAUGUGACUUCUCCCUGUCACUGCUGACCUGGCCGCCUGGCUGAGGCAGGAUUGCUCAGCUUCCUCCAUUCUCAGCUUUACACUUGUGAUCUCCUUUCCACGCUGCACUCGCUGGAAGGGAGUCACUGUAUGCAGCCA